UAGGGAAUCUUCCGCAAUGUGCGAAAGCCUGACGGAGCAACGCCGCGUGAGUGAUGAAGGUCUUCGGAUCGUAAAACUCUGUUAUUAGGGAAGAACAAAUGUGUAAGUAACUAUGCACGUCUUGACGGUACCUAAUCAGAAAGCCACGUCUAACUACGUGCCAGCAGCCGCGGUAAUACGUAGGUGGCAAGCGUUAUCCGGAAUUAUUGGGCGUAAAGCGCGCGUAGGCGGUUUUUUAAGUCUGAUGUGAAAGCCCACGGCUCAACCGUGGAGGGUCAUUGGAAACUGGAAAACUGGAGUGCAGAAGAGGAAAGUGGAAUUCCAUGUGUAGCGGUGAAAUGCGCAGAGAUAUGGAGGAACACCAGUGGCGAAGGCGACUUUCUGGUCUGUAACUGACGCUGAUGUGCGAAAGCGUGGGGAUCAAACAGG
rnacentral:rRNA from 1 species